rfam:Camelus ferus unplaced genomic scaffold scaffold2519, whole genome shotgun sequence.
GAGGGCAUAGCUCAAGUGGCAGAGCGCAUACUUAGCAUGUACGAAGUUCUGGGUUCAAUCCCCAGUACCUCCU